AUGCAGGUACUGUUAAAACUGAAGUGUUUUAUGGUCUUUUCCUCCUGUUUAAAGCAUUUGGUACAUAAGUAUCUCUAACUCCACUCCAUAAUAAAACGGAGAUGCUUUAUUAUGUCCCCAACAU
rnacentral:snoRNA from 1 species